rnacentral:lncRNA from 1 species
AUGAGCAAACCUGGGUCUGCCCGUCUGUUCAGACAUCGGGGCACCGCCGCCCAGCGAGGCCCCGCCUCUCCAGCCCUUCUGUCUCCCCUCCCCUCUCCAUCCUCGCCGCUGCAUGUCACUCCUACAACCGCGCUGAUUAGAAUUGAUCAGACAGAAUCGCGGAAUCACAGCUCGUUUUGCUGUUUUGUUCGGUCACCCGAUCCGCCAAGAGACUCCGGGGGUCGGGCAGGCUGUAUCCCCCGUCCUGGAAUUCCGCUCGGAGGCCUCGGGCCGCCGAGGACCCGCGAGGCUGGGGGCCGGGGGCGCGGGGUGUGUCGGCCUCCCCCGGCGCCCGCGCCCGCGCCCGCGCCCCCCGGGGCGCCCCGCGGCCCCUCGCCCCCGCCCCGCCCCCGCCCCCGCCCCCGCCCCCGCCCGCGGCCGCCUCGCCCCGCUCCCCUUGACGUCAUGCGGGCAGCAGGCUGGCUUGCGCGGCGCGGCGCAGGGCCGGAGCGGGAGCUCAACUUCGGGCUCGCGUCGGCGCUGUGCGCCCCGUGCCGUGCGCCCGGCCCCUGGCUCCCCUGCUCCCCGGCUCCGGGCUCCGGGCUCCGGGCUCCGGGCUCCCGGCUCCCGGCUCCCGGCUCCCCGCUCCCCGCUCCCCGCGCGCCGCCGCCGCCGCCACAUCUGGAAGCGUUCAGCGCGUCUGCCUCCAGCGCGCCGGGCGGGCGGGCGGGCGCGGGCAGGGGAGGGCGCGGGCGCGGGCGCGGCGCGGCGGGGCUGGGCUGGGCUGGGCGGCGGGGAGCGCGGCGCUCUCUCGCGCGCCCGGUGUCUCCCUCUCCCCGCCUCUGCAGAAGCAGCUCCCUGCCAGAACGGCGCUCGGCGCGGCCCGGAGCGGCGGCGGCGCCUCUUCCUGCCGGCUCGCCCUCGGGACCCGCUGGACCUGCCCGGCGGGAGGGAGCUGCCGGGGCCGGGAGAGCGCGCGCCGCGGGCGGGCCGAGACGAGACGAGCCGGCCCCGCUGGCCCGGGCAGACCCCGCUGCCCCACUCCCCCCCUUCCCGCCUCUCCUCGCUCUGCCUCUCUCCAUUUAUUUUGUCAAAUGGUGUAGCCGCCAGAGGUGCGGUGCUAAAUUCUUGGAAGGGGCCCGGAUGUACCGAGGAUGCAUUACAAUUUCACAAAAGGAGGCACUAGUGGAGAGGAGCAGUUUUCGGUGUUCGAUGCGAUAA